rnacentral:rRNA from 1 species
GAUGAACGCUGGCGGCGUGCCUAAUACAUACAAGUCGAACGAAACUUCUUUAUCACCGAGUGCUUGCACUCACCGAUAUAGAGUUGAGUGGCGAACGGGUGAGUAACACGUGGGCAACCUGCCCAAAAGAGGGGGAUAACACUUGGAAACAGGUGCUAAUACCGCAUAACCAUAGUUACCGCAUGGUAACUAUGUAAAAGGUGGCUAUACUACCGCUUUUGGAUGGGCCCGCGGCGCAUUAGCUAGUUGGUAGGGUAAAGGCUUACCAAGGCAAUGAUGCGUAGCCGAAUUGAGAGGUUGAUCGGCCACAUUGGGACUGAGACACGGCCCAAACUCCUACGGGAGGCAGCAGUAGGGAAUCUUCCACAAUGGGCGAAAGCCUGAUGGAGCAACGCCGCGUGGGUGAAGAAGGUCUUCGGAUCGUAAAACCCUGUUGUUAGAGAAGAAAGUGCGUGAGAGUAACUGUUCACGUUUCGACGGUAUCUAACCAGAAAGCCACGGCUAACUACGUG